rnacentral:rRNA from 1 species
CAGACUGUAAAUGAUGCUCGCUAGAUGUUUCUCUGCUUCGGCGGAGGAGUGUCGUAAGCUAACGCGUUAAGCGAGUCGCCUGAGUAGUAUAGUCGCAAGGCUGAAACUCAAAGGGAUAGGCGGGGGAACACACAAGCAGUGGAUUGCCUCGAUUAAUUGGAUAAUAAGCCAAGAAUCUUACCUAGGCUUGACAUCCCGAGAACCUUUCCGAAAGGAGAGGGUGCUUCGCAAGAAGAGCUCGGUGACAGGUGC